UAUUGAGCUAAAUUUAAUUCAGCAACAUUAAUAUAAUGAAGUGAAAGACUUAUAAUGGUAGUGUAAAAUGUCUUGAAAUUCUGUCAGCAUGAAGUAUUGUGUGAUGAAAACAAUGUGUUUUUUACUGCAAUGUGGAAAUCAAUAAUAAGUUGGUUGGAAAGGAGGUUGAACUGCCUGUUGUUGUUUUUGGAAUACUGAAGAACAGUUUUAACAGGUUAAACUCUUGCCACAAGGCAAAAUUGACAUCAAUGGGAAGAUCCUUUGGAAAGAAUGUGCAUCAUCACCUGCCUGAUGUAUGGACUUUUAAACCUGGUUUUUACCCUGCACAAGCUGGCAAACUUGAGGGGAACAACAGUGGGAAAACCUCGCCCUGUCCUUGACCAAGAAAGCUCGAUUUGUUGAGAGAUCAACUGGCAUAAGAGAUGCUCAAGAGGAGAAGGACACAAGCAGCAUCAAUGGUACAACUACGUGUCGCUCCAGGGCCCGCUUUCCAGGUCUCUACCAGCUGCUUUCCAGGUCCCUCCACCUGCCAAGAUCAGGUCUAAUUCCCUGCACUGGCUGCUUUCCAGGUCCCCUAGCAGUCAAGGUCUCUCCAGUAGCUGCUGUGCAGGUCCCAACACCGUAUGCCAUCAAGGUCCCUCCAUAAGCUGAAAUCCAGGUUCCUCAUUCCACUGCGGUUCAGGUACCUCCAACAGCUGAGAUCCAGGUCUCUGCAGCAGCUGCGGUCUAAAUACUCCACCCGCAGUGGUCCAUUGCGGUCAACCUUUUGCUUUAAAAUCUUCCAUAAAUGUCUAUUAUUUUAUAAUGUAUUGUAAAAAUAAUCUGUUUGUAUUAAU